rnacentral:rRNA from 1 species
GCAGUAGCCGCGGUAAAACGAAGGGGGCUAGCGUUGCUCGGAAUUACUGGGCGUAAAGGGAGCGUAGGCGGACAUUUAAGUCAGGGGUGAAAUCCCAGAGCUCAACUCUGGAACUGCCUUUGAUACUGGGUGUCUUGAGUGUGAUAGAGGUAUGUGGAACUCCGAGUGUAGAGGUGAAAUUCGUAGAUAUUCGGAAGAACACCAGUGGCGAAGGCGACAUACUGGAUCAUUACUGACGCUGAGGCUCGAAAGCGUGGGGAGCAAACAGGAUUAGAUACCCCAGUAGUCCCUGUCUCUUAUAC